rnacentral:rRNA from 1 species
AGUGAUGCAGAGCAAAUCCCCAAAAGCAGUCUUAGUUCGGAUUGUAGGCUGCAACUCGCCUACAUGAAGUCGGAAUUGCUAGUAAUCGCGGAUCAGCAUGCCGCGGUGAAUACGUUCCCGGGCCUUGUACACACCGCCCGUCACACCAUGGGAGUCGGUAACACCCGAAGCCUGUAGUCUAACCGCAAGGAGGACGCAGUCGAAGGUGGGAUUGAUGACUGGGGUGAAGUCGUAACAAGGUACC